UACAGAGGUCUCAACCGUUGUUCGGAUUCAUUGGGCGUAAAGGGUGCGUAGGCGGCGCGGUAAGUCGGGUGUGAAAUCUCGGAGCUUAACUCCGAAACUGCAUUCGAUACUGCCGUGCUUGAGGACUGGAGAGGAGACUGGAAUUUACGGUGUAGCGGUGAAAUGCGUAGAUAUCGUAAGGAAGACCAGUGGCGAAGGCGGGGUCUCUGGACAGUUCCUGACGCUGAGGCACGAAGGCCAGGGGAGCAAACGGG
rnacentral:rRNA from 1 species